rnacentral:rRNA from 1 species
UGUAGCGGUAAAAUGCGUAGAUAUAUGGAGGAACACCAGUGGCGAAGGCGGCUAACUGGCCUGUAACUGACGCUGAGGCUCGAAAGCGUGGGGAGCAAAUAGGAUUAGAUACCCUAGUAGUCCACGCCGUAAACGAUGGAUACUAAGUGUUGGAGAAAUUCAGUGCUGUAGUUAACGCAAUAAGUAUCCCGCCUGGGGAGUAUGCGCGCAAGCGUAAAACUCAAAGGAAUUGACGGGGGCCCGCACAAGCGGUGGAGUAUGUGGUUUAAUUCGAAGCAACGCGAAGAACCUUACCAGGUCUUGACAUACCGCGCAAAAGCACAGAGAUGUGUAAUAGUUAUGGCGGAUACAGA